rnacentral:misc_RNA from 1 species
UACGUAGGUGGCAAGCGUUGUCCGGAAUUACUGGGCGUAAAGGGCGCGUAGGCGGACCUUCAAGUCAAGGGUGAAAGGCCUGGGCUCAACCUGGGAACUGCAUCCAAAACUGGCAGGCUAGAGUACGGUAGAGGGUGGUGGAAUUUCCUGUGUAGCGGUGAAAUGCGUAGAUAUAGGAAGGAACACCAGUGGCGAAGGCGACCACCUGGACUGAUACUGACACUGUGGUGCGAAAGCGUGGGGAGCAAACAGG